AUUCCUUCCUUUCACAGUUCCCUUGCUUCUGGAUUGCUUCAAUGAGCCCUAACGAUGCUGGUUGGCUGACUGAGUGCUGCAAUUCUAGCUCGAUGGGGUUUAAGGAUUCUUGGGACUCCUCUAAUUGGUGGUGUGAGGCCUGUGGAGCAGCUAAUGGAACUUCAGGACUAUGCUGACUACCCCAGGGUCUUACGGUCAUUUCUGUUUCACCAGCAGAUCUGGGUGGCAGCAGAGAGCUGCAGCGCCCCCGAGUGCUGUAACGACUGCACGGAGAGACGUGCGGGUCUUCACGGGAACAGCAAGGAACCGAAAGCUGCAUUUCCUGGGAUGCCCCGGAACCCCACUUUGCUGACUGGUAAUUGUCUGCCCAGCAGGUGGCAGCAGAGAGCUGCAGCGCCCCCGAGUGCUGUAACGACUGCACGGAGAGACGUGCGGGUCUUCACGGGAACAGCAAGGAACCGAAAGCUGCAUUUCCUGGGAUGCCCCGGAACCCCACUUUGCUGACUGGUAAUUGUCUGCCCAGCAGGUAAGGACAACGCACGCCCACCAGUGUUUACCGCUUACUGAGUGAGACACAAGGUGGAGUUCCCAGAGCUCCUUUCUGCACUUCAGGGUGCCCCGAAGGCUGCCCGUCCUAUUCUUCGCACGUUCUCCUUGGCUCUGGCCUUUCACGGCGGUGUUCUCCUUCCCUUUGCCCUUGGCGUUCCCCACUGCAUUCUCUUGCCCUCCUGUUUUUGCAUUCCAUGUCGUGUUCUCUUGGCCAUUGCCCUUGGCCUUCUUUGCGGCAUUCUCUUUGGCCUCAGGUUUUGGCGUUCCCUGCAGCGUUCUCUUUGGCCAUCACUUCUGGUGUUCCAUGCAGUGUUCUAUUUGACCUUAGGAUUUCGCCAUCCAUGCCACGUUCUUGUGGUCAUUGCGCUUGGCCACCUUUGCCACAUUCUCUUCGGCGUUCCCUUCCAUGUUCUCUUUGACCUUUGCCCUUGGCCUUCUUUGCCGUGCUCCUUUCAGCCUCCUGUUCUGGCAUUCUCUACGACGAUCUCUUUGGCCUUUGGUUUUGGCAUUCGUUGUUGUGUUUUGUUUGGCCUUUGUGCUUGGCCUUCUUCUUUUGGCAUUCCCUACAGUGUUCUCUUUGGCCUUUGGUUUUGGCCUUCUGUGCUGCAUUCUCUUUGGCCAUUGCCCUUGGCCUCCUGCAUCGGCCUUCCCUGCAGCGUUCUCAUGGACCUCGCCCUCCAUUUUGGCCUUGCCACGGUGUUCUCUUUGGUCUCUGUUUUGUUCUCUGAGGCCCUCUCUUUGGGCCUGCCCUCUGGGGAGGUCUUGUCUUUGGUGUUCUCCAUAGCUUUGCUUUCCCUUUGCCUUUGACGUUGCCUUCCCUUGGUUGUUGUCUAUGCCUUUGCCCUCAGUUUUGGUGUUUCCUUGGGUGUUGUUGCCCUUGCCUUGGCCUUCCCUAACAGUCACUUUGAGCAUAACCCUAAUAAACCUAACCCUAGUACCUUCACCCCAACCCUAAUGAGCUCUGAACUCUAAAGAUAGUGCUAAUCUGAUGCAACGCCCUCAGCAAACUUACCAGGGUGCACUCCAUGCUGUCAGGCAGGUCUUCAGUGAAGAUAUUGGACAGAACAGGCCUGAAGAACACUCAGGAUGGCAUACCAGCUGCUUUUAACACGAUUGAGCAGCACUUAUUAGGCCAGAUGGUUUAGCUAGUUCUUCAUCUAGGAAGCAAUGUACCUGUCCAAGUAGCUGGCUGCAAUCUUUCAGAGAAGUUCAAGGGAUAGCACAUCAAAGGGUUUGCCUCACUCAUGGGGUUGGGUCACCUUUGCUUUGAGUUUGCUAGCGUGGCUGACCCUAAUCCUGUAACUGACAUCCUGUAGCUGGACAGAGACCAUUUGCACUCCAUCCUGGCUGUUUAAGACUCACGGCCAUGCUGAGAGUCACACUGAUUUCAGCGUGUGCAGUCAUUUUGCAUCAACCCAAUUAGCUUUACAAAUAAUUUGUCUCAACCAAAUUGGUUUUAGCUUUGCAGUUAAUGCAUUGCAAAUAUGUUGGCUUUAGCUUUGCCUUGCUUACGGGGUUGGGUUAGCUUUGCUUUGUUUGUUUGUACCGCAGGGCUAACCCAACCCCGUAACCAACAUCUGAGGCCAUCGGAGCCCAUUUGCGCUCCUUCCCGGCCAGUCUGAGACUCGUGCCCCUUUGCGGCCAUUCUGAGAGUUGCGCUGAUUUUGGCAGGUGCAGUCAAUUGAUCUUGCCCAAAUUGCCUUUAGCUUUGCAAUGAAUUUGUCUCAACCAAAUUGGCUUUAGCUUUGCAAUCAGUUGAUCUCAACCAAAUUGUCUUUAGCUUUGCAAUCAAUUGAUCUCAGCCAAAUUGGCUUUAGCUUUGCCUUGCUUACGGGGUUGGGUUAGCUUUGCUUUGUUUGUUUGUACCGCAGGGCUAACCCAACCCCGUAACCAACAUCUGAGGCCAUCGGAGCCCAUUUGCGCUCCUUCCCGGCCAGUCUGAGACUCGUGCCCCUUUGCGGCCAUUCUGAGAGUUGCGCUGAUUUUGGCAGGUGCAGUCAAUUGAUCUUGCCCAAAUUGCCUUUAGCUUUGCAAUGAAUUUGUCUCAACCAAAUUGGCUUUAGCUUUGCAAUCAAUUGAUGUCAGCCAAAUUGGCUUUAGCUUUGCCUUGCUUACGGGGUUGGGUUAGCUUUGCUUUGUUUGUUUGUACCGCAGGGCUAACCCAACCCCGUAACCAAUGCCCGAGGCCAAUGGAGCCCAUUUGUGCUCCUUCCCGGCCAGUCUGAGGCUUGCAUUUACUUCAGAUGGGCUGAGAUCUGCUCCGCUGUUGAGGUGGGUUGCAGUACACAAUAUUAGUGUAAAUCUAAUGUUAUUUAUUGGAUGCGGAGGCUUUGUGACCUAUGUCUUGUGCGUCUGACAUAUGUGUUAUAUGUAAAC
ensembl:lncRNA